rnacentral:rRNA from 1 species
CGUCCGGGUUAGAGGCCGGAUGCAGAAAGGCCGAGGCGCUGAGGGAGGGGGCUGUGGACCAUCAGCUAGUUGGUAGGGUAACGGCCUACCAAGGCGAGGACGGAUAGGGGGCCUGAGAGGGUGACCCCCCACACGGGCACUGAGACACGGGCCCGACUCCUACGGGAGGCAGCAGUAAGGGAUAUUGCGACAAUGGGCGAAAGCCUGACGCAGCAACGCCGCGUGGAGGAUGAAGGCCUUCGGGUUGUAAACUCCUUUUCUGUGGGAAGAGGAAGGACGGUACCACAGGAAGAAGUCUCGGCUAACUACGUGCCAGCAGCCGCGGUAAAACGUAGGAGGCGAGCGUUAUCCGGAUUUACUGGGUGUAAAGCGCGUGCAGGCGGCUUGGUAAGUCGAGCGUGAAAGCUCCCGGCUCAACCGGGAGAGGACGUGCGAAACUGCGAGGCUAGAGACAGGUAGAGGCGUACGGAAUUCCGGGUGUAGUGGUGAAAUGCGUAGAUAUCCGGAGGAACACCAGUGGCGAAGGCGGUACGCUGGGCCUGGUCUGACGCUAAGACGCGAAAGCAUGGGGAGCGAACGGGAUUAGAAACCCCGGUAGUCCAUGCCGUAAACGAUGCUAACUAGGUGUUGCGGGUAAAAGACCGGCAGUGCCGGAGUUAACGCGAUAAGUUAGCCACCUGGGGACUACGGUCGCAAGGCUAAAACUCAAAGGAAUUGACGGGGGCCCGCACAAGCAGCGGAGCGUGUGGUUUAAUUCGAGGCUACACGAAGAACCUUACCUGGGCUUGACAUGACGGUGGUAGGGAACCGAAAGGGGACCGACCUUCGGGAGCCGUCACAGGUGCUGCAUGGCUGUCGUCAGCUCGUGUCGUGAGAUGUUCGGUUAAGUCCGGUAACGAGCGCAACCCUCAUCGCUAGUUACAAGUGUCUAGCGAGACUGCCCGUUCAACGCGGGAGCGCAGGCGGGGAUGACGUCAAGUCAGCAUGGCCUUUAUGUCCAGGGCUACACACACGCUACAAUGGCCGGUACAAUGGGUCGCCAACCCGCGAGGGGGAGCCAAUCCACCAAAGCCGGUCACAGUUCGAAUUGCAGGCUGCAACCCGCCUGCAUGAAGUCGGAGUUGCUAGUAACCGCAGGUCAGCUAUCCUGCGGUGAAUACGUUCCCGGGCCUUGUACACACCGCCCGUCACGUCAUGGGAGCUGGUCAUGCCUGAAGUCGGUGAGCCAACCGC